GACGAACGCUGGCGGCGUGCCUAAUACAUGCAAGUCGAACGCAUUUUCUUUCACCGUAGCUUGCUACACCGAAAGAAAAUGAGUGGCGAACGGGUGAGUAACACGUGGGUAACCUGCCCAUCAGCGGGGGAUAACACUUGGAAACAGGUGCUAAUACCGCAUAAUUCCAUUUACUGCAUGGUAGAUGGAUGAAAGGCGCUUUUGCGUCCCUGAUGGAUGGACCCGCGGUGCAUUAGCUAGUUGGUGGGGUAACGGCCUACCAAGGCUGCGAUGCAUAGCCGACCUGAUAGGGUGAUCGGCCACACUGGGACUGAGACACGGCCCAGACUCCUACGGGAGGCAGCAGUAGGGAAUCUUCGGCAAUGGACGCAAGUCUGACCGAGCAACGCCGCGUGAGUGAAGAAGGUUUUCGGAUCGUAAAACUCGGUUGUUAGAAAAGAACAAGGAUGAGAGUGGAAAGUUCAUCCCUUGACGGUAUCUAACCAGAAAGCCACGGCUAACUACGUG
rnacentral:rRNA from 1 species